rnacentral:rRNA from 1 species
GAUGAACGCUGGCGGCGUGCUUAACACAUGCAAGUCGAACGAAGCACUUACGACGGAAUCCUUCGGGAGGAAGAUGUUUGUGACUGAGUGGCGGACGGGUGAGUAACGCGUGGGUAACCUGCCUCAUGGAGGGGGACAACAGUUGGAAACGACUGCUAAUACCGCAUAACAAGUUUUUAUCGCAUGAUAGAAGCUUCAAAGAUUUAUCGCCAUGAGAUGGACCCGCGUCUGAUUAGCUAGUUGGUGAGGUAACGGCUCACCAAGGCGACGAUCAGUAGCCGGCUUGAGAGAGUGAACGGCCACAUUGGGACUGAGACACGGCCCAGACUCCUACGGGAGGCAGCAGUGGGGAAUAUUGGGCAAUGGGGGAAACCCUGACCCAGCAACGCCGCGUGAAGGAGAAGGCUUCGGUUGUAAACUUCUUUUACCAGGAGGAAACAAAUAGACGUUACCUGGAGAAAAAGCC